rnacentral:rRNA from 1 species
UACGUAGGGUGCAAGCGUUGUCCGGAAUUAUUGGGCGUAAAGGGCGCGUAGGCGGCCAGCACAAGUCAGUUGUGAAAUCUCCGAGCUUAACUCGGAAAGGUCAACUGAUACUGUGCGGCUAGAGUGCGGAAGGGGCAACUGGAAUUCUUGGUGUAGCGGUGAAAUGCGUAGAUAUCAAGAGGAACACCUGCGGCGAAGGCGGGUUGCUGGGCCGACACUGACGCUGAGGCGCGAAAGCCAGGGGAGCGAACGGG